GACGAACGCUGGCGGCGUGCCUAAUACAUGCAAGUUGAGCGCUGAAGGUUGGUACUUGUACCAACUGGAUGAGCAGCGAACGGGUGAGUAACGCGUGGGGAAUCUGCCUUUGAGCGGGGGACAACAUUUGGAAACGAAUGCUAAUACCGCAUAAAAACUUUAAACACAAGUUUUAAGUUUGAAAGAUGCAAUUGCAUCACUCAAAGAUGAUCCCGCGUUGUAUUAGCUAGUUGGUGAGGUAAAGGCUCACCAAGGCGAUGAUACAUAGCCGACCUGAGAGGGUGAUCGGCCACAUUGGGACUGAGACACGGCCCAAACUCCUACGGGAGGCAGCAGUAGGGAAUCUUCGGCAAUGGACGAAAGUCUGACCGAGCAACGCCGCGUGAGUGAAGAAGGUUUUCGGAUCGUAAAACUCUGUUGGUAGAGAAGAACGUUGGUGAGAGUGGAAAGCUCAUCAAGUGACGGUAAUUACCCAGAAAGAGACGGCUAACUACGUG
rnacentral:rRNA from 1 species